rfam:Oryza glaberrima chromosome 2 Oglab02_0045_19, whole genome shotgun sequence.
AAUAGAUGACGCCGUUGACUUUUUCCCACAUGUUUGACCAUUCGUCUUAUUCAAAAAAUUUACGUAAUUAUAAUUUAUUUUGUUAUGAGUUGUUUUAUUACUCAUAGUAAUUUAAGUGUGAUUUAUAUAUUAUAUAUUUGUAAAAAAAAUGAAUAAGACGAAUGGUUAAACAUGUGAGAAAAAGUCAACGACGUCAUCUAUU